GACGAACGCUGGCGGCGUGCUUAACACAUGCAAGUCGAACGGAAAGGCCCUACUUUUGUGGGGUGCUCGAGUGGCGAACGAGUGAGUAACACGUGAGUAACCUGCCCUUGACUUUGGGAUAACUUCAGGAAACUGGGGCUAAUACCGGAUAGGAGCUCCUGCUGCAUGGUGGGGGUUGGAAAGUUUCGGCGGUUGGGGAUGGACUCGCGGCUUAUCAGCUUGUUGGUGGGGUAGUGGCUUACCAAGGCUUUGACGGGUAGCCGGCCUGAGAGGGUGACCGGCCACAUUGGGACUGAGAUACGGCCCAGACUCCUACGGGAGGCAGCAGUGGGGAAUAUUGCACAAUGGGCGGAAGCCUGAUGCAGCAACGCCGCGUGCGGGAUGACGGCCUUCGGGUUGUAAACCGCUUUCGCCUGUGACGAAGCGUGAGUGACGGUAAUGGGUAAAGAAGCACCGGCUAACUACGUG
rnacentral:rRNA from 1 species